rnacentral:rRNA from 1 species
UACGAGGGGGGCAAGCGUUUGUUCGGAAUUAUUGGGCGUAAAGGGUGCGUAGGCGGUUUGGUAAGUCUUAUGUGAAAUCUACAGGCUCAACUUGUAGUCUGCAUGAGAAACUGCCGGGCUUGAGUAUGGGAGAGGUGAGUGGAAUUCCUGGUGUAGCGGUGAAAUGCGUAGAUAUCAGGAGGAACACCUGUGGCGAAAGCGGCUCACUGGACCAUAACUGACGCUGAGACGCGAAAGCGUGGGGAGCAAACAGG